UACGAAGGGGGCGAGCGUUGUUCGGAAUCAUUGGGCGUAAAGGGCGCGUAGGCGGGUUUGUAAGUCGAUUGUGAAAUCCCUGGGCUCAACCCGGGAAUUGCAGUCGAAACUGCAAGUCUUGAGUUCUCGAGAGGAUGGUGGAAUUCCUGGAGUAGUAGUGAAAUACGUAGAUAUCAGGAGGAACACCGGAGGCGAAGGCGGCCAUCUGGCGAGACACUGACGCUAAGGCGCGAAAGCGUGGGUAGCAAACAGG
rnacentral:rRNA from 1 species